CCAAAUUCCUCCUUCUUAUGGUUCGAGGAGCUCAGAUAUGGUUGUAAGAAAGCUCAUGUUCAGUAUAGUACUUUAAUAACCUUUGGAGUAGAUGAACAGAGGCCUCUGAGAAAGGUAGAAUAGAAGAGCCCUUCAGACAUCCAGGGAAUUCAGGGCCUUUUAAAGAGCCAUGCUUGGAGAGCUGAAGAAGGUGCGUAUGCUGAACCAUCGUCCUCCAGGAGGCCAUAAGUCCUAGGAGGCGU